rnacentral:rRNA from 1 species
CCGACGGUGAGAGAUGAAAGCUGGGGGAGCAAACCGGAUUAGAUACCCGGGUAGUCCCAGCCGUAAACGAUGUGCGUUAGGUGUAUCGGUGACCACGAGUCACCGAGGUGCCGAAGAGAAAUCGUGAAACGUACCGCCUGGGAAGUACGGUCGCAAGGCUGAAACUUAAAGGAAUUGGCGGGGGAGCACCACAACAGGUGGAGCCUGCGGUUUAAUCGGACUCAACGCCGGAAAACUCACCAGAUAA